rnacentral:rRNA from 1 species
UACGUAGGGUGCGAGCGUUAAUCGGAAUUACUGGGCGUAAAGCGUGCGCAGGCGGUAAUGCAAGACAGAUGUGAAAUCCCCGGGCUUAACCUGGGAACUGCAUUUGAGACUGCAUGGCUGGAGUGCGGCAGAGGGGGAUGGAAUUCCGCGUGUAGCAGUGAAAUGCGUAGAUAUGCGGAGGAACACCGAUGGCGAAGGCAAUCCCCUGGGCCUGCACUGACGCUCAUGCACGAAAGCGUGGGGAGCAAACAGG